CCUACGGGCGGCAGCAGUGGGGAAUAUUGGACAAUGGGCGAAAGCCUGAUCCAGCCAUGCCGCGUGUGUGAAGAAGGCCUUCGGGUUGUAAAGCACUUUCAGUGGGGAAGAAAGCCUUGGGGCUAAUACCCUCGAGGAAGGACAUCACCCACAGAAGAAGCACCGGCUAACUCCGUGCCAGCAGCCGCGGUAAUACGGAGGGUGCGAGCGUUAAUCGGAAUUACUGGGCAUAAAGCGCGCGUAGGCGGUCUGAUAAGCCGGUUGUGAAAGCCCCGGGCUCAACCUGGGAACGGCAUCCGGAACUGUCAGGCUAGAGUGCAGGAGAGGAAGGUAGAAUUCCCGGUGUAGCGGUGAAAUGCGUAGAGAUCGGGAGGAAUACCAGUGGCGAAGGCGGCCUUCUGGACUGACACUGACGCUGAGGUGCGAAAGCGUGGGUAGCAAACAGGAUUAGAUACCCCAGUAGUC
rnacentral:rRNA from 1 species